rnacentral:lncRNA from 1 species
GAUAGACCGCUUAGGUAAAGAAUUUCUCUCUUUAUAGUAUGGUUAUGUAUCCUAAGUUUGAUUACACCCUCUACGGUAUCUCGAUCACCAAAACCAAAAACCCUAAGCAAUACCUUUACCGUUAAUCUUCAUAGGGUUUGUUUUUUUCUCUUCUUUCUUUCCAUGUUGAGCACUGAUCACCUUGUGGUCAUCACCACCAUCACCAUGAUCCUAUAGCUCCACCACUUGGCAUGGCACUUUAUUAUUUUAUGUCUACAUACUUAUUAGCACAAUGAUUAGUCCCUAGGUUUCAUCAAUUAUUAAAACCAAACUAGGGCUUUAUCUGGCAGCGAUAUAGGACAUGUAGUGGUUGCAGUUUUAUUAAGCAUUACGACUCCAAUAAAACUUUUCACAACGUAACUCAAAUAUUGCAUGUCAACGAUGACAUUGAUAUUAUUUACUUAUUUCAACAAACUUCAUAGUUCGACAACACUUUCAUGUAUUGCAACCAAAAGUAUAACUAGUUGCGAUAUCACCACCUAAUGCAACCAAAUUUGGUCAAAACCUUGUAGUGCUAUAACUUUAUUCCCUUAUCUUCAAAAUGUAUAAAUUUUCUAACAUGAUUAAAACUAGAUUAUAUAACUGAGAGGAUCUUUAAAACACACAUGCAAAAGUUGGGAAACAAGGUGGAGACAUUAGCCUUUAGCCCUCACACUAUUGGAAACUAAAAAGUUCUUAUCGGUUUUCCUUCAACCGACAUAAAGAAAAAAAUGUAUAUAUAUUUUGCAAACUAAUCAUAGAUUAGCUGGUUGGGUUCCUUGCGGUGGAAUUUGUCCAUCUAGAUUUAAGUCCCAUCCGGAUUUAAGUCCCUGACUUGAUACGGGUGCUUGUAUUUUCCUAGGUUUAUUCUAGGAUUUAACGGCGCUAUGUUUUCAGUGGUAGACGUCGUGCCCGUCGACAGUGAGGUGCAUGUGGUGACUUCGUCAGUCUCAAGAUCUGCUGGUCCAACUCGGUUCUUCGGAGGUGCUCAUAGUAGAGUGUACGUGCGUGCGUUCAUAGGGGUGAUUGUGCGCUUAUGUUUGUGAGCAUAUGCGUUUGUAAUUGGUUCUUGCAAAAAAAAAAAGAAAAAAAUGUAUUUUUCUUGUGAGCAUAGGUUUGUGAUAUAUUUAGUACUUAGCUUUUCGUUCUCACCAUGCGUGAUGGAAACAAAAAGUUACAUACUAAUAAAAAUUAUGUCACAUGUACGGUGACAACAAAAAGCUAAGUACUAAAUAUAUCACAUACCUAAGCUCACGGGCCAAAUCGAAAAACUAUCACUACUAAAUAAUUUUUUAGGAAGCGUUUUGAAAAUCCUCUUGAACGCUGUUGGGCCGGUGGCCCACCUCAAUUAAUCGUGCCUGAGCUACUGGCCUAUACAACCAUCUUGGAUAAUAGAUUAAUCAAGGCAGGCGAUAUAAUGUAACCACCUCGGAUAAUCGUACAUCAACUGAGACCAUUGCCCUAAACCAAUCACCUUCAUUAAUGGAUUAACCAAGAUGGUUAACCAACCGUCUCCAUUAAUCAUUAUUAAUUGAGAUGGGCACUUAAGGCAACCGCCUCCAUUAAUUGAUUAACUGAGGCUAGUGUCUUAAGAUGUCUGUCUCAGUUAAUGAUUGCACUAGAAAAUAAUUCAUAAUUUUUUCAUAUGAAUUCGGAUGAAGAUAAACUUUAUAUCAAAAUUGUAGCCCUCCAUGAGAUCUACAACUUUGUAGUUGAAAAGUUUUUGAAUUGAAACUAUUUAGGGUCCCAAAAUAUUAUUGUAAGUGCACAGAUUUUGAAAUUUGAAAUUUAAAAUUAUCAAAUUAACUCAAAUAUUGAUAUAGGUCUAUGCAAAAGUUUUAGUCCUCACUAGAAUGUACAACUUUGUAGUUGAAAAGAUUUCAAUUCGAAGAUGUUUAGUGUUCCAAAUAUGUGUUUGAAAGUUAUAGAUUUUGAAAUUUAAAAUUUAGAAUUUCUAAAUGAUCUCAAAUGUUCACAUUAAUACCAAAGUUCUAGUGUCC